GUGUCAGCCGCCGCGGUACUACGGAGGGGGCUAGCGUUGUUCGGAAUUACUGGGCGUAAGGGGCGCGUAGGCGGGCGCUUAAGUCGGGGGUGAAAUCCCGGGGCUCAACCCCGGAACGGCCUCCGAUACUGGGUGCCUUGAGGACGGGAGAGGUGAGUGGAAUUCCGAGUGUAGAGGUGAAAUUCGUAGAUAUUCGGAGGAACACCGGUGGCGAAGGCGGCUCACUGGCCCGAUCCUGACGCUGAGGCGCGAAAGCGUGGGGAGCAAACAGGAUUAGAUACCCUGGUAGUCCACGCCCUAAACGAUGAGUGCCAGUUGUGGGCGGGCAUGCCCGUCAGUGACGCAGCUAACGCUUUGAGCACUCCGCCUGGGGAGUACGGCCGCAAGGUUAAAACUUAAAUGAAUUGGCGGGG
rnacentral:rRNA from 1 species